AUGAGAUGGAAACGGACAGAGCUGGCGUAUCUGGCUUGCAUUCAUCCGUGGGCUUUCAGACGUCAUGGGACUGUUCUCCAGAUUGGGUCGGUCUUGUGUCUGUUCGGAGGCUUAUGGAGCAUUUGCAGGUGGAGUGCGCUGAGGUGCUCGGGACAGCUGUAUGAUCUCGGCCUUGAGGCCAGCCCUUCGGGGUCUGGUACCCGGGCCGGGGGAGUGUUGUUUGUUCUGGGUAUGAGUUGGUGCAAUGGUUUCGGGCUUGUGUAGGCUCCGAGCUGGCAGUCGGUGGCGGUCGCUUGCGACACGUACCAGCGGUUAGUUCGGUCCUGCUCGAGCUCACAUUGCUAAUUCUCAGUGUAAAAGCCGGUCAUCUGUCCGACCCGUCUUGAAACACGGACCAAGGAGUUUAGCGUGUGCGCGAGUCAUUGGGAGUUAAAAACCCAAGGGCGCAAUGAAAGUGAAGGUCUCCCUUGUGGAGCUGAUGUGUGAUCCUGAACACUACGGUGUUCGGGCGCAACAUAGUCCCGUCUCGAUCGCAUGCGAUGGGGCGGAGACAGAGCGUACGCGCUGAGACCCGAAAGAUGGUGAACUAUUCCUGAGCAGGAUGAAGCCAGAGGAAACUCUGGUGGAAGUCCGAAGCGAUUCUGACGUGCAAAUCGAUCG
rnacentral:rRNA from 1 species